CCUACGGGUGGCUGCAGUGAGGAAUAUUGGUCAAUGGGCGCGAGCCUGAACCAGCCAAGUGGCGUGAAGGAUGAAGGCUCUAUGGUUUGUAAACUUCUUUUAUAUGGGAAUAACGUGAGGAACGUGUUCCUUUUUGUAUGUACCUUAUGAAUAAGAAUCGGCUAACUCCGUGCCAGCAGCCGCGGUAAUACGGAGGAUGCGAGCGUUCUCCGGUUUUAUUGGGUUUAAAGGGUGAGUAGGGGGUUAGUUAAGUCAGGGGUGAAAGUUUGCGGCUCAACCAUAAAAUUGCCGUUGAUACUGGUUGUCUUGAGUAUAUUUGAGGUAGGCGGAAUGCGUGGUGUAGCGGUGAAAUGCAUAGAUAUCACGCAGAACUCCGAUUGCGAAGGCAGCUUACUAAACUACAACUGACAUUGAUGCACGAAAGUGUGGGUAUCAAACAGGAUUAGAUACCCGUGUAGUC
rnacentral:rRNA from 1 species